GACGAACGCUGGCGGCGUGCCUAAUACAUGCAAGUCGAACGCAGUGGGGACGGGUGAGUAACACGUGGGUAACCUCCCAUCAGAGGGGAUAACACUUGGACACAGGUACUAAAACGAUACUGAUGGAUGGACCCGCGGGUCAGUGGCUAGUUGGUGAGGUAACGGAUCACCAAGGCCACGAUGCAUAGCCGACCGGAGAGGGUGGGCGGGCACACUGGGACUGAGACACGGCCCAGACUCCUACGGGAGGCAGCAGUAGGGAAUCUUCGGCAAUGGACGAAAGGCUGACCGAGCAACGCCGCGUGAGUGAAGAAGGUUUUCGGAUCGUAAAACUCUGUUGUUAGAGAAGCGGUAUCUAACCAGAAAGCCACGGCUAACUACGUGCCAGCAGCCGCGGUAAUAC
rnacentral:rRNA from 1 species